rnacentral:pre_miRNA from 1 species
CAGUUGUGGGUUCAGAAGCAGAGCCUGGGGCAUCUCCACCAUGGCCUGGACUCCUCUCCUGCUCCCCCUCCUUAUUCUCUGCACAGGUGC